GUUGGUGAGGUAGAAGCUCACCAAGGCGACGACGGGUAGCCGGCCUGAGAGGGCGACCGGCCACACUGGGACUGAGACACGGCCCAGACUCCUACGGGAGGCAGCAGUGGGGAAUAUUGCACAAUGGGCGAAAGCCUGAUGCAGAGACGCCGCGUGAGGGAUGACGGCCUUCGGGUUGUAAACCUCUUUCAGCAGGGAAGAAGCGAAAGUGACGGUACCUGCAGAAGAAGCGCCGGCUAACUACGUGCCAGCAGCCGCGGUAAUACGUAGGGCGCAAGCGUUGUCCGGAAUUAUUGGGCGUAAAGAGCUCGUAGGCGGCUUGUCACGUCGGUUGUGAAAGCCCGGGGCUUAACCCCGGGUGUGCAGUCGAUACGGGCAGGCUAGAGUGUGGUAGGGGAGAUCGGAAUUCCUGGUGUAGCGGUGAAAUGCGCAGAUAUCAGGAGGAACACCGGUGGCGAAGGCGGAUCUCUGGGCCAUUACUGACGCUGAGGAGCGAAAGCAUGGGGAGCGAACAGGAUUAGAUACCCUGGUAGUCCUCCCCGUAAACGGUGGGAACUAGGUGUUGGGGACAUUCCACGUCGUCGGU
rnacentral:rRNA from 1 species